CCCUGUCUCCCAACCCUUGUACCAGUGCUGUGCCUCAGACGCUGGUACAGGCCUGGGGGGCAGGG
ensembl:miRNA microRNA 150